rnacentral:pre_miRNA from 1 species
UAUUAGAUUGCUGCAAGAGUAAUUGCGGUUUUCAGUUACUUUUCAGAAACUGCAGUUACUUUUGCACCAACCUUAUA